rnacentral:lncRNA from 1 species
UUCUCCUGCAACAACGGCCUCUUAAUCUCGCAUGCAAUCUAACCUGUGACAAUCGCAUGCACCAGGAUGUAAGAAUGGAUCUCACUGAAUGCACAGUGGAAGAUGGGCCAAGCCAUUCGCUAAACAAAAGGUAUUGGCACCAAAGUGAAGAGUUGAAGGAAGAUAGUUUUUGUUUACGUGCAUACAUGAGCUCACAGGAGACCGGAAGGAGAAAAUCCUGAUGAUCUGGCACUUGCUCUGCCUUUCUUCUUUAGAAAAGGAAAGACCUUUGACUGGGAAGAGAUGACCAUGAUUUCCUGUACCAGCAUCAAAGCCCCCUUCUCUGAACCAAGCAUCUUCCAAGAAGAGGAUUGCCCGGUGAUGGUUGAUUUUUCACAUUGUGUUCCAACAGAACAGUUAAUCUUCUGGAAGUACAUGAUGUGCCACACACUUUCUGAUCACAGGCACAUGGGAAACACACUAAGUUUGCUUUCACUACACGUUGAAGAUCUCCCAAAGGCAGGUUGAUGGUCUCCUGCCAGCCUGCCUCAUGUGAGCUGACAUGAAGACAAAAUAAUAAACCCAUGGCACCAGCUUUUCAUAUGUGUGUUGAAAUCUUGCUAAGUGGAAUGUGAAAUGAUGAGAAGGAACCUAAUAAGCUGGAGUUGAUCUGAAUGCCAACCCAGCAAGUGCCACGAAAAUCAAACCGUAUCAUAGAGGAGGUUUGGGAGCAUUAGUCAAAUUCCCUUCCUGCUUUCCUUUUCAUGUUGUUUGUUUUGUUUGCAUGAUCCUUUCACUGGAUGGUUCUCAUAGACUCAGAAAGAAAUCAACACCACAGAAGAAAGAGAAUCUGACUUGUGUUCCUGACUGAGUCAAAUCCAAGACACACUGGAUACACAGCAGCCUGAUUUUGUGAGAUUUCCAACAUGAUAGCAAGACCAAAGAGAUUAGCUGUGACAUGUGGGCCUCUCCAAAAUGACCUUUUGCAAUGUUUAUGCUUAUCAUGCCAUUUAUCCAUCAAUGUCAUUGAUCUAUUUUUUGUAUUAACAUCUCUUCCAAACCAGUAAGCAAAUAUCCUUUCCCAGACCUGAAGGAUAUGUCAUUACAGUGAUAUACUAACUCUCCCCACCCCUGGUACAUAUCAGAGUUAAAACAGUGUGUAACCAGGAUUCUGUAUUUGCUAAAUACUCUUAGGGUGGUCUAUAACAUUAAAUCAAAG